rnacentral:siRNA from 1 species
AGGUGAAAUCCACUUGUGCACUUC